UAAUAGAAAAAAACAACAUGGAAUCAAGAUCUUUAGUCACCUAGUUUAUUACAUAUUCAGCCGAAUUUAGGCAUUAGAAUAAAAUCGAACGUCUAAAUAUUUUAUUUCAAACAUACUCAAGAUGGAAAAUUGAAAUCUAGCCAGCUAUAUCUUAUGACCUAUGAAUAUGUAUGACUUGGACAAAUUAAAUAAAGUUGAAGUGGAGCUACGCAUUUAGACAAAUCAGGUUAUUGUCUCCUUAAUAGUGCUGGUGUUGGCCUGGCAUAAUAAAAAGAUUAGGUUAUUUCACAUAAAAUCUCGGCUCGAUUGAAAGGACUCACUCUGCUGAGCUCAAGUCAUGAUCAAGAGAGAUAAGUAGAUAACACAAUAAGAUUUGAUCGCAGACUGAAUCAGAGAGUCAAUUUGUACAUAAAACCAUCAAUUCAAGAAAAAAAUAAUAAAAGAAGAAAAAAUCAUGUAGGUUGUGACUGGUAAUUUCUGGAAUAAAAGAGAAAUGUAAAAAGUGAAAAUGGGAAGAAAAUAUAAAAUGAGUUAAUAGUCAUUCUAUAUUUAGUUAAAAAUCCAUAUUAAAAAAAAACCUUGCCAAAAAUAUAAAUCGCUAUAAGAAAAACUUCAUGUGUCACAAUUAAAUUGAUGUCAUGCCACAUUUUUAAAAGCCAUGUUAUUUUUUUUUUGAAAUUUAAUGUAGUAGUGAGACAUAUGCAAAUCUUUCAUAAAUAGUGUUUAGGGGAUUUUAUAGAGUAAAUGAAAAAAUAAUUGUUCACCUAUUUCGUUUACUCUAAUAAUGCUAUACAGUCAAAUCCAUAGUUAUUUUUCAUUGUAUUUUACUUUGCCAUUGAUAUGCUCUCAUUAUUUAAUACAAAUCACUAUUUAUCCUUUUUAGUUUAUAGUCCGUCCUAUGUUCGAAGGAUGAAUUCAUUUUGUUCCAAAAAAAAAGAAUUCAAUUCGUACAUUAUUCUAAUUUUUUUUAUAUGAUAAUUUUUUUUUUAAUUUUUUCUAUCAAACCAAAAUAAAUUUUAUUAAAAAC
rnacentral:lncRNA from 1 species